rnacentral:rRNA from 1 species
GGAUCCAGACUUUGAUCCUGGCUCGGGAUGAACGCUAGCUACAGGCUUAACACAUGCAAGUCGAGGGGAAACGAUAGAGAAAGCUUGCUUUUUCUAGGCGUCGACCGGCGCACGGGUGAGUAACGCGUAUCCAACCUGCCCAUCACUUGGGGAUAACCUUGCGAAAGUAAGACUAAUACCCAAUGAUAUCUCUAGAAGACAUCUGAAAGAGAUUAAAGAUUUAUCGGUGAUGGAUGGGGAUGCGUCUGAUUAGCUUGUUGGCGGGGUAACGGCCCACCAAGGCGACGAUCAGUAGGGGUUCUGAGAGGAAGGUCCCCCACAUUGGAACUGAGACACGGUCCAAACUCCUACGGGAGGCAGCAGUGAGGAAUAUUGGUCAAUGGGCGAGAGCCUGAACCAGCCAAGUAGCGUGCAGGAUGACGGCCCUAUGGGUUGUAAACUGCUUUUAUAAGGGAAUAAAGUGAGUCUCGUGAGACUUUUUGCAUGUACCUUAUGAAUAAGGACCGGCUAAUUCCGUGCCAGCAGCCGCGGUAAUACGGAAGGUCCGGGCGUUAUCCGGAUUUAUUGGGUUUAAAGGGAGCGUAGGCCGGAGAUUAAGCGUGUUGUGAAAUGUAGACGCUCAACGUCUGCACUGCAGCGCGAACUGGUUUCCUUGAGUACGCACAAAGUGGGCGGAAUUCGUGGUGUAGCGGUGAAAUGCUUAGAUAUCACGAAGAACUCCGAUUGCGAAGGCAGCUCACUGGAGCGCAACUGACGCUGAAGCUCGAAAGUGCGGGUAUCGAACAGGAUUAGAUACCCUGGUAGUCCGCACGGUAAACGAUGGAUGCCCGCUGUUGGUCUGAAUAGGUCAGCGGCCAAGCGAAAGCAUUAAGCAUCCCACCUGGGGAGUACGCCGGCAACGGUGCAACUCAAAGGAAUUGACGG